rnacentral:rRNA from 1 species
AAUGAACGCUGGCGGCAGGCCUAACACAUGCAAGUCGAACGGAGGAGGAGGGAUUAGUGGCGGACGGGGGAGGAAAGCGGGGGAACAUACCCUUUGGUACGGAAUAGCCUCGGGAAAGGGGGAGUAAUACCGUAUGUGGUCGAGAGAGGAAAGAUUUAUCGCCAAAGGAUUGGCCCGCGGUGGAGUAGGUAGUUGGUGGGGUAAUGGCCUACCAAGCCGACGAUCCAUAGCUGGUUUGAGGGGAUGAUCAGCCACACUGGGACUGAGACACGGCCCAGACUCCUACGGGAGGCAGCAGUGGGGAAUCUUAGACAAUGGGGGAAACCCUGAUCUAGCCAUGCCGCGUGAUCGAUGAAGGCCUUAGGGUUGUAAAGAUCUUUCGCGUGGGAAGAUAAUGACUGUACCACCAGAAGAAGCCCCGGCUAACUCCGUGCCCCCCGCCGCGGUAA